rnacentral:rRNA from 1 species
CGACGCCGCGUGUGGGAUGAAGCUCCUCGGAGUGUAAACCACUGUUGCCCGGGACGAAUAGCUCGAUUAAUCGAGCCUGACGGUACCGGGUGAGGAAGCACCGGCUAACUCCGUGCCAGCAGCCGCGGUAAUACGGGGGGUGCGAGCGUUGUCCGGAAUCACUGGGCGUAAAGGGCGCGUAGGUGGUUUGAUAAGGGUGUGGUGAAAGUCCGGGGCUCAACCCCGGAUCUGCCGUGCCGACUGUCAAACUCGAGGACUGUAGAGGCAGACGGAAUUCCGGGUGUAGCGGUGGAAUGCGUAGAGAUCCGGAGGAAGACCGGUGGCGAAGGCGGUCUGCUGGGCAGUUUCUGACACUGAGGCGCGACAGCGUGGGGAGCAAACAGGAUUAGAUACCCUGGUAGUCCACGCCGUAAACGAUGGGUACUAGGUGCCUGGGGGAGCGACCCUCUGGGUGCCGGCGCUAACGCAGGAAGUACCCCGCCUGGGGAGUACGACCGCAAGGUUGAAACUCAAAUG